rnacentral:lncRNA from 1 species
UGCUGCGGCUCCUGAAAUCCUCUGGUGUGAACUUCUCUCCCAGGGCUGUUGGUGCAGCAUCCACUCUUCUGGCAGUGGGCGCCUGGACCUUAGUUACCCGGGGAGCUCACACCAGAAGAGGACAUUGGAUCCCACUAUAGAGGGUUGUGAGCCACCUUGUGGUUGCUGGGAAUUGAACUCAGAAACUCUGGAAGAGCGGUUGGUGCGCUUUACUGCUGAGUCAUCUCUCCAGUCCCAGGUGUUCUGCCCAGUUUAUAGAACAAGGAAUUGAAGCUUGGAGAAGAUUGAUGGGCCACUCAAGUUCCCUGGAUGGUCCAGGAUUCAGACUGUGGAUGGCCUAAUACAUCAGUUUUGCUGGCUCCCUGUGUUUGGCUAACCUUAGAGCCUCUUACCUUGCCAUAGUCUUUUCUAUGAAGGACAGAGAUCCAAGGAGUAGACCAACUUACCUGAGUUCACACAGUGGACCUGGGUCUUUCACCUCCCAGCGCAAUGUUCCUAUGUCCU